rnacentral:rRNA from 1 species
AGAGUUUGAUCAUGGCUCAGGAUGAACGCUAGCGGCAGGCCUAACACAUGCAAGUCGAGGGGUAGCAGGGUAGCAAUAUCGCUGACGACCGGCGCACGGGUGAGUAAUGCGUAUGCAACCUUCCUUUAACUGGGGCAUAGCCCGGAGAAAUCCGGAUUAAUACCCCAUGACAUCAUGAAAAGGCAUCUUUUUAUGAUUAAAGCUCCGGCGGUUAAAGAUGGGCAUAUGUGCCAUUAGCUUGUUGGUGAGGUAACGGCUCACCAAGGCUGCGAUGGCUAGGGGGUCUGAGAGGAUGAUCCCCCACACUGGUACUGAGACACGGACCAGACUCCUACGGUAGGCAGCAGUGAGGAAUAUUGGGCAAUGGGCGCAAGCCUGACCCAGCCAUGCCGCGUGAAGGAUGAAUGCCCUAUGGGUUGUAAACUUCUUUUGUACGGGACAAAACUCCUGGUCGUGACCGGGAUUGAUGGUACCGUACGAAUAAGCAUCGGCUAACUCCGUGCCAGCAGCCGCGGUAAUACGGAGGAUGCAAGCGUUAUCCGGAUUCAUUGGGUUUAAAGGGUGCGUAGGCGGAAUAGCAAGUCAGCGGUGAAAGCCUGUGGCUUAACCAUAGAAAUGCCGUUGAUACUGUUAUUCUUGAGUGUAGUUGAAGUGGGCGGAAUGUGUAAUGUAGCGGUGAAAUGCUUAGAUAUUACACAGAACACCAAUUGCGAAGGCAGCUCACUAAGCUAAUACUGACGCUGAGGCACGAAAGCGUGGGGAGCAAACAGGAUUAGAUACCCUGGUAGUCCACGUCGUAAACGAUGAUCACUCGUUGUUGGCGAUACACCGUCAGCGACUGAGCGAAAGCAAUAAGUGAUCCACCUGGGGAGUACGGUCGCAAGACUGAAACUCAAAGGAAUUGACGG